GGCCUAGCUCCUGCGUCCGAGUGCUGUGU
rnacentral:piRNA from 1 species